rnacentral:rRNA from 1 species
CAGGCCUAACACAUGCAAGUCGAACGGUAACAGAGAGUAGCUUGCUACUUUGCUGACGAGUGGCGGACGGGUGAGUAAUGCUUGGGAAUAUGCCUUAUGGUGGGGGACAACAGUUGGAAACGACUGCUAAUACCGCAUAACAUCUCCGGAUCAAAGUGGGGGACCUUCGGGCCUCACGCCAUAAGAGUAGCCCAAGUGGGAUUAGCUAGUUGGUAAGGUAAUGGCUUACCAAGGCGACGAUCCCUAGUUGGUCUUAGAGGAUGACCAGCCACACUGGAACUGAGACACGGUCCAGACUCCUACGGGAGGCAGCAGUGGGGAAUAUUGCACAAUGGGCGCAAGCCUGAUGCAGCCAUGCCGCGUGUGUGAAGAAGGCUUUCGGGUUGUAAAGCACUUUCAGCGAGGAGGAAAGGGUAUUGCUUAAUAGGUAAUAUCUGUGACGUUACUCGCAGAAGAAGCACCGGCUAACUCCGUGCCAGCAGCCGCGGUAAUACGGAGGGUGCGAGCGUUAAUCGGAAUUACUGGGCGUAAAGCGCGCGUAGGUGGUUAAUUAAGUCAGAUGUGAAAUCCCAGGGCUCAACCUUGGAACUGCAUUUGAAACUGGUUAACUAGAGUUUUGUAGAGGGUGGUAGAAUUUCAGGUGUAGCGG